AGACUUUUGGUGGUGUGGACACUCUUAAAAAAAGCCUUGAAGUGUUCCCAAGCAUGAUAGAGGUUUUCAUCAGUCUUCUAUUUGAAGCUCACUAUUUUACUGCGAAGUAU